AACGAACGCUGGCGGCAUGCCUAACACAUGCAAGUCGAACGAGACCAUCGGGUCUAGUGGCGCACGGUUGUGUCACGGGACGGAACCUGCACUCAGGUUCGGAAUAACUCACCGAAUGGGGUGAUAAUACCGGAUAAUGUCUACGGCCGAAAGAUUUAUCGCAUUUGGAUGGGCCAGCGUUGGAUUAGCUCGUUGGUAUGGUAAUAGCCUACCAAGGUGAGGAUCAACAGCUGGUCUGAGAGAAUGAUCAGCCACACUAGGACUGAGACACGGCCCAGACUCCUACGGGAUGGAGCAGUGGGGAAUAUUGCACAACGGGCGAAAGCCUGAUGCAGCUCGGCCGCUUGAGUUAUGAAGGCCUUAGGGUUGUAAAGCGUUUUUACCCGUGAUGAUAAUGACAGUACCGUGAGAAUAAGCUCCGGCUAACUCCGUG
rnacentral:rRNA from 1 species